rnacentral:rRNA from 1 species
UACAGAGGGUGCGAGCGUUGUUCGGAAUUACUGGGCGUAAAGCGUGCGCAGGCGGUUUGCUAAGACAGGUGUGAAAUCCCCGGGCUUAACCUGGGAACUGCGCUUGUUACUGGCAGGCUUGAGUGUGGCAGAGGGGGGUGGAAUUCCACGUGUAGCAGUGAAAUGCGUAGAGAUGUGGAGGAACACCGAUGGCGAAGGCAGCCCCCUGGGCUAACACUGACGCUCAUGCACGAAAGCGUGGGGAGCAAACAGG